UACAGAGGUCUCAAGCGUUGUUCGGAAUCACUGGGCGUAAAGGGUGCGUAGGUGGCGUGGUAAAGUCAGAUGUGAAAGCCCGGGGCUCAACCUCGGAACUGCAUCCGAUACUACCAUGCUAGAGUACUGAAGAGGAAACUAGAAUUCUCGGUGUAGCAGUGAAAUGCGUAGAUAUCGAGAGGAAUACCAAAGGCGAAGGCAGGUUUCUUGGCAGUUACUGACACUGAGGCACGAAGGCCAGGGGAGCGAACGGG
rnacentral:rRNA from 1 species